AUGUUUUACUUACCAUUCCUAUUUACACUACAAACACUUAAAAUUCUGUGUAUUAAGCAACAGUAACUUUGACUAUCAACAGAUGGACAUGUAAACAAAAAGAUUAUAGUUUUGAAAAUAUUAUAAAACCACCUAGAGCUACAAGUCGAUAUACUAUUAUGCACAUGCUGUCUUCAACUUCAUGGGGGAAAAAUCCACACCUUUUUCAUGAUGAACUUAACGAUGUGAGAACCCAUUUAUGCAUGCAAUUUGAGCUCAUUUGGAUCAACGAGUGGCAAAACCAAUUUGGUAAAUUGCGUCGCUUGUUGCAGCGACCCGCCUGACAGUAAUGGUCCAUGUAAUACACGGCUAUGUGGUGAAAACAUGAUUGGAGGAACAACACAACUGCCUAGUGGUCAUAUUCUCGGAUAACACAACAGCAUAGUGGUCAAACUUCUCGGAUAGUACAAGAGUCUUGUGGCCAUGUUACCGAACAGUUCAUGAAAAUUUAAUGUACAAUAUACUUAUAUUA